rnacentral:rRNA from 1 species
AGUGAACGCUGGCGGUAGGCCUAACACAUGCGGGUCGAACGGCAGCACAGUAAGAGCUUGCUCUUACGGGUGGCGAGUGGCGGACGGGUGAGGAAUACAUCGGAAUCUACUUUUUCGUGGGGGAUAACGUAGGGAAACUUACGCUAAUACCGCAUACGACCUACGGGUGAAAGCAGGGGAUCUUCGGACCUUGCGCGAUUGAAUGAGCCGAUGUCGGAUUAGCUAGUUGGCGGGGUAAAGGCCCACCAAGGCGACGAUCCGUAGCUGGUCUGAGUGGAUGAUCAGCCACACUGGAACUGAGACACGGUCCAGACUCCUACGGGAGGCAGCAGUGGGGAAUAUUGGACAAUGGGCGCAAGCCUGAUCCAGCCAUACCGCGUGGGUGAAGAAGGCCUUCGGGUUGUAAAGCCCUUUUGUUGGGAAAGAAAAGCAGCAGGUUAAUACCCCGCUGUUCUGACGGUACCCAAAGAAUAAGCACCGGCUAACUUCGUG